rnacentral:lncRNA from 1 species
ACCAGUUCCUACAGCAUCUCCUGGACCACCCUGCUCCUCCGAAAUUGCUUCCCUGACCCCUUGAAGGGAGGCCCUUUCCCCACCACUUCCAACCUGUGAGUGAUUUUUCCUUUAAAAAAUAAUUUUAACUGAACUCAGAAGAAAAGGGAGGGGAGGACCCUCCCCAAAGGCUGGAGCUGCCUCCUGAGGGCACUUUCACAUUCUCUUCUUGUUUUAAUCUUGGGAGGGAUAGAUUAAAAAAAAAAAUCUCAGCGUUUUUCAGGAAAGGAAACUGAGUCCUGGAAAGGUGUUUCAAAGUCUAAGCAGUUGGGGAAAGCAGGUGGAGGAAGAGUGAAGAGAGACAGCAGACUUCAGAGCCCUCAGAGCACCUCCCAGAGGACAAGUCCCACUGGGAACCACUCCAGUCUGGCUGCUGGUGUGAGCUCAGCUGAGCUGCAGGGAGGGAGGUGGAUGGGAGCAGCCUGCUCCUGGGACACACACCUGCAGCAUGUGAGGUCUGCAAGCAGGACAGGAGCUUCUCAUCCCCUCCCUCCCACCACACCUGCCGCUGCCCCCUCUGCCACUGGACCAGCACCUGCAGGUGCCCCAGAUUCUCAGCCUUGAACACCGCAGCCCCCCUCCCUCUCAGUGCUUCCUGCAGCUGGACACGGCAAGACAGCUGUCAGGGUGACUGAACUGAAACUGGAGAGCCAUGCUUCCUCCGGUCUCUCCUCUCUAGCAUUGCCGCCUGUGCAGGACUGGGACUUCUGUGCCCUGUAUUACAAUGACACCAUCUUAGCCUCCAGCCCUGAUUCUCUGACCACCCACCACUGAACCACAGGUAGGGUGCUGUUUCUAAAACCUGGCUGUGACCGUGUCCCUGAGAGUCCCAGCCCCGGCCAGGCAUGCAAGAUCUUUCCAACAUCCUGCCCAUGCCUUUCCCACCACCCUUGCUUCUCUCCUGCCACUGCUCCACAUGCAGCCUGCAGUGGAGACAGCACCAGCAGUAGAAGCAAAAUUGAUCACUCACUUGCACUUCCCCAAAUGGGCUGGGUGGUUAUUCCAGAACCUGAAAUGACCUGCUUCCCCUCUGUCUUCCUGAACAACACUAACUUGUGGUGCAGGAGAUGAACUGGGACUUUUGAGACAGGGGUUUGAAGUUUGGCUAUUCAUUCUUGCAUUCAGCACAUAUUUAUUGAGCACUUACUAUAUUUCAGAUGCCAUUUACACACUGGGUAUAUACAGAGAGAGGUAUAGAUAUGACUUUCCUUUCCUCUAGAAGUUUGCAAUCUGAUGCUAAAGAUAGAUGUUAACCUAAGGAUCAUCCAAGGAAACAUACAAUUUCAACUGUGAUGCCUGCUAUGGAGCAAGUUUAAAGUGUUAAAUAAGGGCACACUAGGAGGGGGCCAGCCAAGACAAGAUGUUUGGUGAAAACCUCCCUGGAGUAGUUUCUCUUUGCAUUUGCAUCACAGGUGAAGUAGGCAAAGAAGAAGACAGAGAAGGAAAGAUAUGGCAGGCAGGAAGAACAGGUACUUCCCAGCUUUGGGGUCCUGGGAACAUGAUGUGGUCUCUCCUGGCCUCAGUUUUCUCAUCUGGAAAUGGGGAAUGGUGGUAGUUGAAGUGGUGAAUGUGAUGAGACUAACAGACCCUAUCACAGGUGUUCUGAGCUUCCCUCCUUCCCUGCUCGACACCUGUGCCACACCUUGCCCCUGGCUGCUCUCCAGGGAGGAUUCUCCCCUGGCUUUUGUGUGGACAAGUCCCAGAGUUGAUGCUUUAUUGGAGGCUAGAGGAGGAAAGAAGGGUCCCAGAAGGAAAAGACCCUGUGUAUCUUCACAGUAGAGACAGUGAGGUGAGGAAAGGGUCAAAAAGUGGGACAGUGUUUUUCCAGGGAAGACUGUGAAAGAGGUGAGGCUAUGGGAGCAUGGGAGAGGUAGAUAGGAGAGCAGGAGGGACCAGGAGCAGGAAGCCCCACUGCACCCACAGAAGCAAGCAAAGAGCUUGGGUUUGGAAAUUACCUCUCAGUGCUGGAUACGACACUGCUUGGAGACUGCCACAGGGAUCGGGCUCUGCGUCCUCUGGGAUUUAUGGCAAUCACCUCUUCUGGACCAAGCAGGAGUGCUGAGCAGGGGGCAGGGGCUGGCUCACAUGGCAGCUUCGGUGACACUGUAUCUGCAUCUCACCACUCACUGCAGGGCUGCUGGCCCUCCAGGCACUUGCUCCUUGAAUCAAGAAACUGUCUCCAUGUCUUGGUUCUUUGCUCCAAUACAAAGAUUGGGUGCCUGACAAAUCUUCACUGGUAGAUGAGCGGAGGAGGGGAAUCUGCCCAGUGCUGUGAAAUCAAUGGACAGAGGAUUUAAUCAGCCAAGAAAGGUACACACAUGCUCCAUACACAGUUCUACAUUUGCCUUCAGAUGCUUCUGACCCCGGAAAUCCAUCCCCUCGUUCAUGCAACAAGCCCCAUUGAUAGGGGGAGGGUACAGGAUGACAAGUCGUGGCCAGGGUAGGUUUGCAUAAUGGUUACAGGAAAGUUCCAGCAGGAGAUGAUAAAGUACACCGAGCAAGGGCUUUCUCUUCCAAUUAGCACAACAUUACUGUUGGAGCUAGGAACUGAGCUGUGACUCACAACCCCUGUCUAGACCUUGGAGAUACAGGAGAAUCCUGUAAUGGAGGGAAUGGUGCAAGCAGAGGCUCAGAGGCAUGAAGCUGCCUGGGGGGUAAUACAAAUUUCCAGAGCUGUGAUCCAAAAGACCAUGCUUCUCAUCACUCUUGGAGACAGCAUUUUCCCUCUGCUGCUGAGACUGUGCUAAAGUGAGCUCCAGAGUCAUGGGGCCAUGGUUUCCCAUCAGGACUGGCUGCACCGUCUCACCGGGGCUCUUUCCCCCGUUGUCUAAAGAGCCUGGCAGAGGUAAAGCAGCUGGAAGCCGGGGCAUCUCUCCAGCCAGCCUCAGGAGCCAGCCUCCUGGGCAGAAUUCUAACCACCUAGAGGGUUAAUAAGCCCCUCUUUAUUUAUCCCAGGCAGAGCCCGGAUCUCAGGGGACACGGGUGGGAAAUGGUCCUUCCACACAUUGGUUUCUGCAAAAUUGGACUAAGAGGAUUUUUGUAGAACAUUUUAGCACAAAGGCGGUUUUCCUACACUGGUCAGCAAAUAGUCUUCUGUCUGAACUCAUUGAUCUCCCUUUGUCUGAAGACAUAUUUUAAGUGGGAUUUGCUUCCCUGAGACAAAUGAUAAAAUCAGUAGGAAAAUGCCAGGAUUUCGCUGCUGCUGCUGCUGAGAUCAAAAGACUCAACUCUGCUUUACAGCAGGAAAAGCUCCACUCCUUGGCUACAAGAUGCCUCUGAGCCCCCAGACCCAGUCCUACCCAUGCACCAGCUUCAAAGGAUGGAAGCUGGGCAGAAAUCUGCAUUGCCUUGAGCCCAGACCCACUGUGGUGGUUCUAACACCCCCUCUUCAAAUAACAAGGUCAGCCCCUGAUCCUUCCUCUCCCCAACUCAGGAGCAACAAGGCUUCUGACAGUCAAUAUGUCUCUUCCAGAAGUUGGUUUAUUCAUGAGGUAGCACUGUGUAGACAGACAGGAGGGUAGGGUUCCAAGACAGUCCUGGAUUCAAAUCCUUCUCUGACAUUUUAGCUGCUGAAACUUGACAGAGUUACUGAACUCUUAGAGCUUCAGUUGCCUGAUCUGUAAAGCAGUACUGAUACUGUUAUUACACCAUGCAGAGAUAGAAUGGAGAAAUGAGAAGCUGCUCUUAAGAAAUCCAAGUGUGGCCAGGCACAGUAGUGCACACCUGUAAUCCCAGCAGCUCGGGAGCUGAGGCAGGAAGAUCACAAGUUCAAAGUGAUCAGCAACUUAGCAAGGCCCUAAACAACUCAGCAAGAUUCUGUCUCUAAAAUAUAAAAAGGACUAGGGAUGUGGCAUAGUAGUUGAGUGCCCCUGAAUUCAAUCCCUGGUAACAAAAAAAAAAGAAAAAAGAAAGAAAGAAAAGAAAAAGAAAGGGAAAGAAAGAGGGGGGGAGGGAGGGGGGAGGGAAAAGAAAAGAAAUCCAAGUGGGUGUAUUUGUUAGGUUUUGCUACCAUGAUGCUACCUAACAAACAGCCCCAGGAUUUCAGCAGCCUAAAACAGCAAACAGCUAUUUCUUGCUGACUACCACAGUGAGCUGGGAAGCUUUGCCUCAGCUGCAGAUCAGGUUCUGUUGGCUCCAAGUCUCUCUCAUUCCCAGGCCAGCGCCCCCUGGAGUUGCUCUUCUCCUGGCACAGAAGGGAGCCAAUAGGACCACCCAACCGCAAUUCACUCAGAGCCUCUGGUCAGGCAGGGAGUGCGGGAACUCUGUUCCAGCCCUCAGACUUGUGGGUCACGUGAGUAAACAAGAGCUCUCCUCUGUCCACAGGGAAGCCAGGCAAUGGAGCAGGGGAGCCGGGAAGAACUGUGAGCUGAUGAUAGGGCCACGUAGUCCCCAACCAACAGAAGCCUUGAUGUUCCAUUACCCCAAGGUGGGUCCACAGCCACCCCUUCUGUCUGUCACCUCUGCCCCUCUCUAACUCAGAUCCUCCCUGCUUUCUGCCUGCAUGGCUGCCAGAGCUUCCAGCAGCUUCUGGGCAGUGCUGUCUUCCCGGGGCCCAUCCAGCCAAUGCUCUGCCCUUCGUGUUCCCAGGAUUCAUUCUGAUCCACAUUAAUAAUUAUUAACCCAACCAACAGAAUUAGACUCAUUAACUCCAGAUGCCUUAUGUGGUCUUCACCACCUGGCCUCCACCUAUGUGCCCCACCCACCUCUGGCCACCAGCCUUCCCGCGAGUCAUCUCGGGUAGAGGUGGUGGGCCCC